GGUUGUAUAGUGUAGUGGUUAGCACGCAGGAUUUUGACGCACCUUGCCUCUUUCUUCCUGAGACCCCGGUUCGAGCCCGGGUACGACCU